rnacentral:rRNA from 1 species
UACGUAGGGGGCAAGCGUUGUCCGGAUUUAUUGGGCGUAAAGAGCGUGUAGGCGGCUAGAUAGGUCCGUUGUGAAAACUCGAGGCUCAACCUCGAGACGUCGAUGGAAACCAUCUGGCUAGAGUCCGGAAGAGGAGAGUGGAAUUCCUGGUGUAGCGGCGAAAUGCGCAGAUAUCAGGAAGAACACCCGUGGCGAAGGCGGCUCUCUGGUACGUGACUGACGCUGAGACGCGAAAGCGUGGGGAGCGAACAGG